GUAAAAUAACAAUAGUGAGGUUUUAUACAGGGGUACCUGUACAGAGUCAAUGUGGAGGCUAUAUACAGGGGGUACCAGUACAGAGUCAAUGUGGAGGCUAUAUACAGGAGGUACCAGUACAGAGUCAAUGUGGAGGCUAUAUACAGGGGUACUGGUACAGAGUCAAUGUGGAGGCUAUAUACAGGGGGUACCGGUACAGAGUCAAUGUACAGAGUCAAUGUGGAGGCUAUAUACAGGGGUACCGGUACAGAGUCAAUGUGGAGGCUAUAUACAGGUGGUACCGGUACAGAGUCAAUGUGGAGGCUAUAUACAGGGGUACUGGUACAGAGUCAAUGUGGAGGCUAUAUACAGGGGUACUGGUACAGAGUCAAUGUGGAGGCUAUAUACAGGGGGUACCAGUACAGAGUCAAUGUGGAGGCUAUAUACAGGGGUACCGGUACAGAGUCAAUGUGGAGGCUUUAUACAGGAGGUACCAGUACAGAGUCAAUGUGGAGGCUAUAUACAGGGGUACCGGUACAGAGUCAAUGUGGAGGCUUUAUACAGGAGGUACCAGUACAGAGUCAAUGUGGAGGCUAUAUACAGGGGUACUGGUACAGAGUCAAUGUACAGAGUCAAUGUGGAGGCUAUAUACAGGGGUACCGGUACAGAGUGAAUGUGGAGGCUAUAUACAGGUGGUACCGGUACAGAGUCAAUGUGGAGGCUAUAUACAGGGGUACUGGUACAGAGUCAAUGUGGAGGCUAUAUACAGGGGGUACCGGUACAGAGUCAAUGUACAGAGUCAAUGUGGAGGCUAUAUAAGUAAUAUGUACAUGUAGGUGGAGUUGUUAAAGUGACUAUGCAUAGAUAAUAACAGAGUAGCAGCAGCAUAGAAGAGGGGGGGAGAGACAAUGCAAAUAGUCUGUAAAGCCAUUUGAUACAAUUUUCAGGAGUCUUAUGUCUUGGGGGUAGAAGCUGUUUAGAAGCCUCUUGAACCUAGACUUGGGGCACCGGUACCACUUGCCGUGCGGUAGCAGAGAGAACAGUCUGACUAGGGUGGCUGGAGUCACUGACAAUUUUUAGGGCCCUCUUCUGACACCGCCUGGAAUCAGAAGUCCUGGAUGGCAGGAAGCUUGGCACCAGUGAUGUACUGGGCCGUAGGCACUACCCUCUGUCGUGCCUUGUGGUUAGAGGCCAAGCAGUUGCCAUACCAGGGAGUGUUGCAACCCGUCAGGAUGCUCUCGAUGGUGCAGCUGUAGAACCUUUUGA
rnacentral:lncRNA from 1 species